CAUAUCAUGUUGAAAACACUGGCUCCCACAUGAUCACCAAAGUUAAGCAACAUCAAGCCUGCUCAGUACUUAGAUGGGUGAUCACUUGGGAAUACCAGAUGUUGUAAGC